GUUUUCUCUCUCUCUUUUAUUAUAUCUUCGUCAUUUCUCACUUGUAGAUUUUCCGAUAUCAAUGGCCGCGGCGGCGCAGAUUUCUUCAUCUCUCUACUACCAGCGGAAUUUCCGCCUUGACUACAGCGAAAACUUCUCGUUUCACGCGCAAAUUAUGGACGGCGUUCGCGUUUGCUGCUGGAUCUUCUCUCUUGAUUGACAAUCAAUUUUACCAGAAACUGCGCAUGGACUUGGAAAUCAGUUGCAGAGCAGGAAGCAAAGCAAUGGUGUAGAUGCCUGGAAAAUGGCAAUGGUUGGCUUUGCUUCCGAUUUCGUAAUGGGAAAAGGACUCCUCGAGAAUUUUGCCAACAGUGGUGGCUAUCACAGUUUUGGUGGGAGUUCUUAAAGCAAUCUCCAUCUUCCAAUGUGCAUCAGAGAGUUAAUCAGGUUUGUCUAUUCUUCUCUUCUGAGCUCCAUUCCUGAAAAUGAUACAAUGUGAUGCCUAAUUUAUAUUGCAUUAAUAUUUCAUUUGAGAGUAUUAUAACUAGUUAAUCUGAUGGAUGUUGUGAAUCCUCUGUUUAAUUCUCAUAACACACAUUCUAAAAAUAUAUAAUGUGUCUCAGCCACACAAAAAAGGAAAAAACAGGAGAUACCCUUCAUUUUCCAUAUAGUAGAGACAAUCAAUAAGUCUAUACCUAUUCUCCCCUCCCAAAAAAGCAGUAUCUGAUCCCUCCCCCAUCCCAUGCCUGUUAUGACCACCAUGGGAUACACCAGGGUGGCCUCGGCUGCAGCAUUGGUUGUGGUGGUGAUGAUCCUCUGCUCGGAGAUCCCGGGGGCUGGGGCAACCAUGUUCCCGGAGGUGGAAAUAACGCUGGCUAACGAUGGGGAGAGCCCGGUGUGGUUCAUGUGCCAGAUGACGCAGAAGGGGGACUCCCUGUACGAGCUGCCCCCAAACAGCACGUACCGGUUCAGCUUCACGCACGUGGCCUUCCCGAUGCGGUGGUGCUACAUGUACAUCCACCCGGGCAGCCAGGGCUUCUUCUGGGUGUACACGGUGCGAUCCAGAUGCACCAAGUGCUUCUGGAGCAUCGACAAGCACCCUUCUCUCUACCGCAACGACAUCGGCAGGUGGGAGAGGCAGAAGCUCUUUAUGCCGCCAUCUUUCAAUAUCUCCAAUUUCUUACUUAAUGAUACUCAAUCUGCGAGAUAAGAUAUAUAAUCAAUAUGCACAUCUCUCUGCUUUUUUUUUAUUGUCGUGUGAUUGGUUUUGUAUCUUUCUAUCAUUUGUCGUAUAUUGAUUUCAUUUUGUUUGUUUUUGUUAGUAUUUAUUAAUAAUUUCAUUAAACAACUAAAAAUACAUAACUAACCUAAUUAGAAAUCUUAAAUUUUACAUAACUAAAAACCAAAAUAAAACAAUGAAAAGUACAUAAUUUACAUUGAAAAUAUAAUUAUAGAUACAUGAUUUAAAUGAAAAAUGCAUGAUUAAAAUAUAGAAAUUUUGAAAAAGUGCAAUUUAAAAAAUAAUCUAUCCAUCAUUUUUUUUUAUCAAAGCAACAUAUUUAUUCUUUCUCCGAAUGACCCGGCCACCUUGAUGAAGGAGGAUGGUGUGGCAGUUUGCUACCAAAUGUGGACUGAGAAUUUCAGGCAACCUGAUAAAACUGCUACUAACUUGACUAAUCAAUUGAGAAGGUUUGAGAAGGUUUGUAAUUAUAAAUUUUGGUUAAAAUUAGGAUUUAGGAGUACUAUAUAUGCGAUGAAAAAUUAAUCAAUUUUUUUAUGGAUAAUCCUAAUUUAAAUUGUGCUUAGUUUUUUUUUUGGGUUGAGAGAUGAACGAAUUUGCGUUCAUAUUUUAGUAUAGAAUAUAAUUUAAGUUCGUUGAACUAAUCGUAUUGAUCCACUUCGAAAUAUUUGUAAUUGAAAAAUUCAAAAUCACAACAAAAUUAAGUGCGCUUAAUUUAUUUGUAUUUAGCACAAUAUAGUCAAUCUAGAACUACAUACUAACGCCAACAAUGACCAAGUUCCUGUAAAAAAGAUUAAUAUUUCACUUUUCAUGAUAUAAAGUAAAUAUUUGAAGUUAUUGGACAAAAUAGUUUUUUAUAGCUAGGUGAUCUUUGCAUGCAUACAGUGAAGUUUCUCUACGUAUAUAAAAUUAGCACCAAAAAUUCAUUAAAUGCUUCCAAUCUUGAUGACAUAAUCAAAAAUCUAAAACACUAUCACCACUCUUGUUCAUACCUAAUUUAGUUUGGAAAUUUGAAGAUUACGUAAAUAUCUUUCCGGAACUUUGCUUAAUACAAACACACUUGCCUUAAUACAAACAUCUUGAAACUUGCCUUAAUUACAUAAACAUAUAUUCCAAAUCUAUCAACUCAAUUUUAUUUUAUUUUGAUCGAGUUUUGUAGUAAAAAUGUUGUAGCUUGGGAGAUUUAUGCAAUUUUGAUCGAGAACCGCCAAUUUUUUCUAGCUAUUCAACAAUUGUUAAAGAAUCAAAAGUAUACUGAAUGGAGAAUUAAUUCAAUAUCAACUUUAAAUGUACUCUUAUGAACAUCACAUGUGUAAAAACCCUAAUUUUGGAGAUGAAUGUAUUCACAUAAUUAGGCUCCCAAAAUGUGAUAAUUCUGAUAAUCAAUUGGAGAAGACAAGAUUAAAAUUCAAUCUUGAUGAUAAAAAAAAAGAGUAUCUGCUGCGAUCACAGAGUCAUCUACAGUGGCGGAUCUAGUUAAGAACAAAGCGGUACGAGUGUACCCCCAAAACUGCCAGCAGCCUAGUGGCAGCAGCCUAGUGGUAAUAUGCUCUUCUGACACAGCAUUCGCCCAGUUGUUGAAGCGAUAAUGGUGGCGCAUAAUUCUUCAAAUUCUCUUCAACCUUUCCCCCAAAAUCCUCCAACGACUUGAUCAAUUGCUCCAAUUCACCGCCGAUCUCCUUCGCCGCCGCCACGCGGUUGAUCAGAGCCUCGAUUUCGGAGGGUUGGCCGAAAGAGUAGAGCUUCCCGGCCGGAGACUGCACCAGAAAUGCAAUCUCAACGCCGCAUAGGACGGUGAGCUCGCUAGCUUUGUGGUAGAGAAAGAGGGU